GGUGCAUUCUGAGACAUGACGCUAAAUGACGUUCGACGGUAUUUCCGGGUUUAGUUGAUGUCACCCUGAACACAACAUCUCCAGAAGGGAGUCAAGGAAGAACCAAAAAAAAAACGAGCUGAUGGAUUGACUGCUGAGGAAUGAAACAGCACACUCCAACCAUCUUUGUUUACUCAGUGGCCACAUCAACCCACACCCAGUGAGAGAUGUUUUUUUUCUGUUGCAGUAAGAGCGAUUUCACUGCAGAAUUCUAAAGUCAACCCAAGGGUCCAAAAUGAUGUCUGAGUUGUCCUCAAUGAUGAUUCCUGUGCGGAAGUUGAGCACCAGGUCCAUGAGGAAGAAAGUGUCCGAGACCACAUUGAAAAUGAUCCAGGGCGUGGUGGUCU